UCGUACGCCAGACUUUGUAUCCCUACGUGUUGGACAUGAUUCAUGUUCCAAUCGGUGAAAAAAAUUACGAUUUCUAGUUUAAUCGUCUUCUACAAUCGACUCUUUAACAUCCGAUGAUCCGAUUGCAUCAUUGAGGGCAUAAGUUGCUGUUCGGACUAUGUAUUUCUGAAAGGGGAAAGAAUGGGUUGCUGGUUUCAGUUGUUUGGACUAUGGAUUUCUGAGAGGAGGAAGAUGGGUUGUUGGUUUCAAGAGAUUUAGGGCACUCUUAAAUAAGGGAGAAGGACGGCGAGAGAAGGACUGAAGGGAGAAGAAUCGAUUGACUCACUCAUCCACUUCUCAUUCACACAUAGAGAGAGACAGAGGAGGGGAGAGAACUGGUGCUGCGUGAGUGCUCUCCUCCAGUUUACGAUUCUGAAGUUUCUUCUCUUGGAACUCUUUGUUGUUCCUGUCACUUCUUCUGGUGCUGCUUCGGCUCCUGCUCCAUCGCCAUGGGAGAAAGAUAAAGGAGGGGAGAGAACUCAGACCAGACACAGUGACUGUGCGUGUCACUAUCAUUUAGGGUUCGUGGGUCUGCUCGAGUGCUCUGUUGGGAUCAACAAACCUUAUAUCGUUCAUCUUCUUCGGGUUGGUUGUUCAUCUGAGAGAAUCAAACGAAUCUCAUUCCCAUGUUUGUUCGUGGGUCUACUUGAGUGCUCUGUUGGGAUCAACAAACCUUACCAUCGGUCAUCUUCUUCGCAUAACUUGAGCAAGGAGAAACUGAACAGCUUCAUGAUGAUAAGAAUGAAGGCUACUGAGUUUCAUAAGGUGUCUCAUUGACUACUUCCAGAUGUAUGAUACAUUUAACCAAUUAUGAAUGCUGUGGUGCUACUGAUUCUAUAUUUGAAGACCCUACAUUGUCAGGACUCUAUUUUUCCACAUUAAACCCCCUCUCUUGGCGUCCAUCAGAGGUUCCUCUCUGAAGCCAGUGGACCAAUUUAUUGUGAACGGUAGCCGCAGAAAUUUGACUCUAAUUCCCAUUCAUCAGAGGAAGGGAAAAAUUUCAGCUCAUAGAAGGCCACUUAUAGUUCAGUCUUUGUGGUCUUCAGGCAAAAUCUCCAUGAAUUGUUCACUUCUCAUAUGACAGAGGCCUUACAACAUUCAUAAGAGGCUUUUUUUCAUAAAGAGACAAUGACCAGCUUCCUUGUGAAGAAACCGCGGAAUGUUGACACCUAUGAAAGCAUGUCGUUUAAAGGAUUGUAGCCAAUUAGAGAAGGUGCAGGUUAUUUGCUGGUUGGAUUGUUAGUGAUUCUGUUGAGGAUUAUGUGCCGCAUUUUCUGUGGCAAAAAAUAUUUCUCUGUUCUAAGAAGUUAUAGCAUUCAUUUUGAGGAAGGCUUCUAGACACAAUGGAUUUGCUAAAUAUUGAGAACAACUUCCUGUUGAUUUAGCUUUAGUUUUUCCCUCCAGCCGAACCAAACUUGGUCAGCAAGGCUUAUGGUCAUGAUUGUAAUGCUUAGAAGGAAUUUGGAGUGUAUCAUUGUUAUCAUGAGUGCAAGAAGUAGAUGAAUGCCAAAGAUGAAACUUUU